UAUACAGUGCUGAACAUUGAAUCCAGUGCCUCACUAGGAAAGUGCUCUACCACUGAGCCACAAGCCCAGCCUCUUGACCGCUUGAUUUUUGUUGCUACAUGGUAGAUCCACUGUCUCAUGGAAACGAGAAAAAGUUCUACAAAGUUCUCGGAGAUGAAAUUUCAUAUAAAUAGGACACCCAUAAGACAUGGGAGCUAUUUUAGGAGUAGAUUAUAGCCUUCAAACUUCCUAUUGGCAAGGCUGUUCAAGAGUGACCUUCUUAGGGUUCCCAUGACGUCUUGGUAGUAAAGACAUGAUUUGUUCACAUCUUCAGUUUGCCUGCUUACAUCACGAAGGUAAGCAAUAUGAAAUUUUUCUUCUUUAAGUUAUAAGUAAAGGUCCUAUGCUGAGUUACAAAUAAGAGAAUUUAUCUGUCUUGUAACAAAAUUGCUUUUCUUUAAUGAGAAUGUGCUUCAUAAAUUUCCCAGAACAUUGAAUUAAAGUGAUUUGGGGAAAGAUAUCAAGAUAGAAUUAGAUCUUGAGAAUUCUCUGGGGACUUCCAUGAAUUGAAAUUUGGACAUUUUGCAAGAAGAUAAUAGAGCAUAAAAUAACAUGUGAGAAAAAAUGUUGAUGAUUUAUGAUUAUAAAUGACAGUAUGCUUAUAAACAACAGAAGAUUGUUGAAGAGUGAUAGUCUCACAAGUCACACAAGGACAUGAAAGGCCUCUGGUCGAUGAGGGGUACUUUACUUCCCUGUACAACUCUGCAUGGAAUCUCCUCACUGCUACUGCUACUGCCCUGCCUCUUCAGCUUGUUUUACUCACUUUGUCCAUGAAACUGUACCCAGGGGAUAAGCCCUACCUAGGAAGCUGGGGACAAUUGGCUGGAGGUAUGGAGGUAGGUAAGCACAAGGUGAGUGACAUCCAAGUUUCUUUCAUUGCUCCCUCCUCCACUUACCACUGCUUUCCAGAAGUGCCAUUUAGUCUCUCAGCUGGUCUCAAAUCAGUCCUGAGGAAAGGAUCUGAAAAUCCUGACUUAGGAAUGAAACAUUCACAUGUGAUAAAGUGACCUUAUAACUCAUCUAGCCUAAAUCUGGUGUCAGUUUAUUUUUAAAAGUACUAGUGAGUCGCUAUUUUAUUUUAUGAGAUUACCACACAAAUGUGAACCUAUUAAGUGAAUUAUUGCCAGCAAUCAAGGUCACUUGUUACAUAACAUUAGCAAGAGGGACUCAGGUGAGAAACAACUCUGAUUAUAGGUAUUUAGUCCAAAUGUACAUCAGUUUUAACUCCUUAAAUGUAUUUCUUUUAGCAGCUAAUUGAAAUACUUUAAAAGUCUUGACACAACAGUUAUACAAACAUACAUGUAACAACAUGGGAAAUUAAAUGAGACUUAUAAUAUACAUCUUAACAAAAUGAUGGCUUAAUUUGUACUCCUUUUGUAAUUUUAACUAAAUAUUGUGGUGAGUAGUUCUUACAUUAAAUCCUAAGUAUAUGGGCAUUUAUUACACACAAUAUGAAAAUACUUCAGGAGGCUUGUGAUUAACGCUGUGGUAUUCAGGCAUAGUUUAUAGAGAUUUUCAAUCAAAGACAAAAGGCCCAAGCAGAUGAUGAAACACAUGAAAAAGAUGUAUGUAUAUAGCCAAGGACUUAAUUCAGACUUGCUCAUAUUAGCUCAGUUCUAGUUCUUGGCCUAUCAGGCAUGUACUCAAACAAGUAUCCCCUGAGACUGGCUCAAGGCUGCCCUAUGGAUUAACCCCUAGGGGAGGGUGGCCAUGUAAAAUACAGAAGAUUAAGUUAAAUUUAAUUUCAGAUAAGUAAUGAAAAUUUUUUAGUACAAAUAGGUCCCAAAUAUUGUAUGUUAUGUACUGUACUAAAAAUUAAUUGCUUAUUAUAAAUUAAAAUAUCAUUGGAUAUCUUUUAUUUUUAUUUUUUCUAAAUCUGACAAACCUACCCAAGAGGUUCUAAAGAACACCCACGUAUCACCUCCUCUUGUCCUCUGUGACUGAAUUGGAGUAUGCAGACAUUUGCCCUAGUAUGUAUGUGCUUACUGUCUGAAACAAGAUGACUGACAGAUUUGAAAUUUCCAGAACAGAAUUUUAAUCUAGCUGAAUCUCUUCUUGGAUACUAUCUGCUAUGGUUUGGAUGUGGUGUGUUCCCGGGAGAGUUCAUGUGUUGUGCUUUCCCUGCCCCUUAGUGUGGUAGUAUAGGGGUGGUGGGGCCUACUGGCAGGUCACUGAAGGCACUGCUCUAAAUGGGAUCAAGGUAGUUCUCAUGAACCCUGAGUUAGUCCUAGGUAGAUCAAGUUGUUUAAAAGCAAGCCCAAUCCCUAAGCCCCUAAAUCACUCUCCAAACUUCUGUCUCAGGAUAUGAUGUCUUCUUCCCAAAAGUGCUCCCAGCAUUAUAGCACCAUUUACCAUGGGGCCCUCCCCACCACUAGGAGCUGAUGCCUGUACCAUGCUACUAUGAUUGAGACAUGAGGUGUCCCCAGAAGUUUAUGUGUGAGACAAUGCAAAAAUGUUCAGAAGUAAGAUGAUUAGAUUAUGAGAGCAGGAUUAAUCCACUGAUAUAGAUUAAGUAGGUGAUAACUAUAGGCAGGUAGAGUGUAGCUAGAGAAAGUAGGUCACUUGGGGUGUGUGCCUUUGGGGUUUAUAUUUUAUCCUUGGUGAGUGGAGCUCUCUCUCUGCUUCCUGGUUGCCAUGUUCUGAGCUGCUUCUCUUUGCCAUGCCCUUCUGCCAUGAUAUUCUGUCUUACCUCAGGCCUAAAGGUAUGAAGUUGCCAACCAUGGACUGAACCUCUGAAACUAUGAACCAAAAUACACUUUUCAUCCUCUAAGUUGUUUUUGUUAGGUCUUUUGGUCACAGUGAUGCAAAGCUGACUAAAACAUCUCCACGACAGUGAGCUAAAUAAACCUCUUAAUAAAUUGACCCAGCCUUGGGUAUUUUAUUAUAAUAACAAAAAAGGACUAUUACAUUGCCUUAUUUCUUAUUAUUUAGGCUUGUUCCUUCUAAUGGAACUUUUUGUUCAUACUUUCAAAUAAUUUUUUAAACAUAGUGAUUGAAGAGGGACAUUGGCAACCAUGUCACUAAUUGUAAUGCAAAGAAAAUUCUAAGGUCUAACUUCUUCUCUUUGCUCCUCUCCUUGAACUUGGAGCCAGUAUUUAUUUUUCAAAUGCAUGUCUGCCAGGUUUCUGUUCUCACGACUAAAAGGCUCAGUGGUCACUCCAGUUAAACUGGGCUGACUAGGCUGCACCAAAUAACCACACAAGAGACACAAAUACCUUUUUCUUUGGGGUCACUGUGAUGGCUCCUCUGACCUUAAGGGUCCGCAGAAAGAGAGAGAGCGAGAGCACAUGCUGACCCCUUUUAUGAGGAGAAGCUAUUCAAAUGAGUCAAAGGGUCAGGUUUCAGGGGGCUGAGUCUAUCUCAUGAUGUCCACUGUCAGCAGGUUGACUGACACCUGAGUAGGCCACACCCAAGGGCACAGUAAGAGAAGGGGACACACAUAAGGCACUUCCAUGGAAGAUUCUAUCCUAAACAGGGCAAGGGGUAAUGUUACAAAGGAACAGGUGAGCAUAGCUUCACCCAUGGGGCUGUAGCAAGACACACCCAUGCACGAGACCCUCGAACCUAAGAAGGGUGGGGAAAGCUCUGCCACAUUUCUGUGACUGAGCGCCUCAGCACCCAGCCGGGGAGUGUGACUCAGUCAAGUGCAAGGUUGGUCUCACACACAUGUCCUUAAGAUUUGAUAUCUUCUUUUCUUUUCUUUCUUGCUUGGGAUUGAACCCAGGACACUCUACCAUUAAGCCAUAUCCCCAAGUCCUUUUUAAUUUUUAUUUUUGAGAUAAUGUUUUGCUAAAGUUGCCUCAAACUUUUGAUCUCCCUGCCUCAUCCUUCUGAGUCAUGGAUUACAGGUGUAUGCCACAUACCUGGCAAAUGCCUAGGUUUUAAAGGGCAUAUAGAUGUGAAAUGAAAUAGGAGGGUUCCUUUUGGGCUAAGUUUGUACCCCUGGAUUAGUCUUUUGGAGCUUUGGUAAAUGUAGUUAAGUUUUAUUUUAAUCAAUUAAUUUAUUGUGCUGGGGAUUGAACCCAAGGGCCCUGUACCAUUGAACUACAUCUCCAGCUCUUUUCAUUUUUUAUUUUGAGAUGGGGACUUGCUAAGUUGCUUAGGACCUUGCUAAACUGCUGAGGCAGGCCUCAAACUUUUGGUCCUCCUCUCUCAGCUUCCUAAGCCACUGGGAUUAGGCAUGUGCCACCAUGCCCAGCUGGGUAGCUACUUUUAAAUAUUUAAUUUUAAAUUAAACCUUGGUUUUCUAAGUCAAGGAAAAUGCCACCACUACUAAAAUUUAGCAACUAAAGCAACGAAACAGCAAUGUGGUAGAGUAGAGAAAAAAAAAUAUAGAGUUGGCAGAUCUGAGAUUGAGUCCUGGCUCUGCACCUGAACUGACUGUGAGAUUCCAGGCAAAUCAUUUAGCCUUCAUGACUUUCAAUUCCCCUCCAACAAAAUAGGAAUUAUAAGGCAGUUAUGAAGAGAGACAGUAUAUAUAGAAAUCAUUUGUAAACUUCAAGACCAAUUUAGAUGUUUGAGGGAAUGAUGAUAAAGAUCAUGCUCAGGAUAUAAACAUUCUAGCAAGUCAGUUAUUACAGAGAAAUUUUAAUUUAUACCUAAAAUGUUUGUUACUUAGUUCACAAGAAGUAUAUAUAUGAUCAUUUUAUAUAUAUAUAUAUAUAUAUAUAUAUAUAUAUAUAUAGAUCAUAAUUAUAUUGAUUGAGAAAAGAAGCAAAACACAAUAAAAACAAACCUAAUUCCAUAUUUUAGAAAACAGCUUACUAAAAGAUUUUGUCUAAAAAUUGAAUGUUUGAAGUAGAAUAUUUUAUUUAUUUAGGUUGACAUUAAGAAAUGAAUAACAGAAAGGAACACUUUUGAAAAACAUUUCAUUUAAAGCCUUUUAUAGCGUGGCAUGGUGGCACAUGCCUGUAAUCCCAGAGGUUCGGGAGGCUGAAACGGGAGGAUUGCAAGCUCAAAGCCAGUUUCAGCAAUGGCAAGGUGCCAAGCCACUCAGUGAGAACCUGUCUCUAACAUACAAAAUAGGGCUGGGGAUGUGGCUCAGAGUUCAAGUAAGUGCCUGAGUUCAAUUCCUCAUACCUCCCCAAAAUUAAUAAAUACAGCCUUUUACUUUUAUUUUCGGGCAAAUAAUUAUUCAACAUCCAACCUGUUUAUUUUGUAAAAACAUUGGCAAAGUCUUCUUAACCCACUUAUUAUUAUUUUUAUGAACAUAACAGCUUGGAGUUUUAAAAAAAAUUUUGUUCUAAUUAGUUAUACAUGACAGUAGAAUGCAUUUUAACACAUCAUACAUAAAUAGAAUAUAACUUCUUUUUCUUCUGGUUGUAUAGCAUGUAGAAUCACACUGGUUGUGUAAUCAUAUAUGUAUAUAGGGUAAUAAUGUUCAAUUCAUUCUACUAUCUUUCCUACCUCUGUACCUUUUCUCCUCCUUUCACUCCCCUCUGCCUAAUGCAAAGUACCUCUGUUUUUCCCUAGCCCUCAUCCCCUUAUUGUGAAUUAGCAUCCACUUACCAGAGAAAACAUUCAGCCCUUGGUUUUGGGGGAUUGGUUUAUUUCAUACAGUAUGAUACUCUCCAGCUCCAUCCAUUUACCUUCAAAUGCCAUAAUUUCAUUCUUCUUUAAGGUUGAAUAAUAUUCUAUUGUGUAUAUAUACAAUAUUUUCUUUAUCUCUUCAUCUGUUGAAGGGCAGCUAGGUUGGUUCCAUAGUUUGGCUAUUGCGAAUUGAGCUGCUAUAAACAUUGAUGUGGCUGCAUCACUGUGGUAUGCUGAUAUUAAGUCCUUUGGGUAAAAACCAUGGAGUGGGAUAGCUGGGUCAAAUGGUGGCAGCUUGGAAUUUUUAAUGCAUGGUAAAAUCUUUGGUAAGAUCUUAAGAGUAGCUGGGUGUGGUGGCGGAUGCCUGUAAUCCCAGAGGCUCCAGAGGGUAAGGCAGGAGGAUGGCAAGUUCAAAGCUAGCCUCAGAAACUUAACGAGGCCUUAAGCAACUUAGAAAGACCCUGUCUCAAAAUAAAAAAUAGAAAGGGCUGGGUUCUCCUACCCUCCAAAUCCUUAGUGUAUAAUUUGCUCAGUAAUAAAACAGAGAGAGAGAGAGAGAGAGAGAGAGAGAGAGAGAGAGAGAGCAAGAGAAGAAUUUGGGCCAGAUGUCCCCUGGUUCCUUUUAGCAUUUGUGUCUUGUGCUAAAGGAACUCAGACCAGUUCUUGUGAAGGCUGUGGGAAAGCUGAGACAUAUGGCACUGGGUGCCAACUCUGAUUGAAGGGUAUUCUUUUUUUAUUUUACUUCAUUUUUUACUACACAACCAAUGUGUAUGGGUCAUAGAAAACUAGAAGAGGUGGUAAAAUUGAAACAGAGAGCUUAAUCAAGAUCCCGACUCCACCUCCAGAGAUUUGGAAUGCUGGAGAGAUGUCGGUUUGUGUCUUCAUGUGUGCUCUGUGCUCGAUGAAGGUGCAGUGUUCACCUCACUCUGUCAGACUCUCCCAAGGGGAUGCAGUGGUCUAUACAGAGGCAUUGCACAAAAAGUGCAUCUUAACCAAGGCCCUGAAGUGGUAUGGUUAAUAAAAUUCCACUAAAAUAGUUCUUGCAAUGACAAGACAAACAUGGAAAUUAAACCUCUACAUUUUAGGAUUACACUUCUUAUACCUUCUUUAUUUCCAUUCACUCAACUCCUCCCCAAUAUUCUGAAUAAAACACAAAACUUUUCCAGAAAAACUCAGAAUAUAACUUAGUGCUAAAAGUCUUUGUCACCAAACUCUGAGCUCCAUCCUUUAUAGGGAUUCAAAUUGCUUUUCUUUGACAUCUACUUCACACACAUGGGCUUGAGAGUAAGUGAGAUGGGGUUCCAGCUCUAGGCUAAAAGUGUCCACCUUUAAAACUUGGUAUCAUCUGUCCUGGGAAGGAGUUAGGGGAGGGGAAUUGAGUAGGAUAAGCCUGGCCCAGUUGUUGCAGCAGAAGAGUUAUUCCAAGUACCUCAGGUUUGGUUGUAUUUGCCCCAGAUUUCUGUGAGCUCAGUUCUGAAUCCUGGGUGAGAAUGCAUGGUGCAUAAAAACCAGAAGAUCCAUCUUUUCUUCAAAAUAAUUUUUUUAUUUGUUCUUUUAGUUAUACAUGACAGUAGAAUGUAUUUUGACAUAUACUUGGAGUAUAACUUCCCAUUCCUGUGGUUGUACAUGAUGUGAAGUUACACUAGUCGUGUAUUCAUAUAUGAACCCAAGCCUCUUUGAAGAGCUAGCCAUUAUUGAUUUGCCAACAUCUAAUGCAAAGUGUAAAUGCAAAGGCAUUCUUCUCCACUGUUUCACAAACCACUGAGAAAUGUUGGCCUGUGUGUGUUCCAGAAUUUUGGUGGCAGUGCCCAACAGAAGGGCAGAUGUCCUGGUGCUUGUGCAGGAGGCAGCAGCUCUCAGAGAGGCAUAAAUCUGGGGGUAUUCAGAGUGUGGUGGGACCUUGAAGUAUUCCGGUUUACAGUAGAUACGUUUGUAUCUGCAGGACACACAAUGGCAUUCAACAGAGCAAACAUAGAAAUCACAUCUUUUACAAUCAUAAGCAAGAAUUUUGAGAUCCAUCCCAAGAAGUGUGUGUGUGUGUGUGUGUGUGCGUGCACAUACACCUUUUUGGAGGGCAAAUAUCAGAGAGAGGGCUCUAUUUCAGACAUCUUGCUUCACUUCCUAAAACCAGUUCUAGUGAGAAAAUGAUGAUUCUUUCCAUUAUUUGAAAAAUUGACUCAUGGACUCAAAACCUUCCUCUGGUUUCCUUUGAAACUUUAAUUUGAUUUAGGCAUCUCUGCCUCUCACUCCAAAGUUUUUGACUAAUAAUAAUACUUAUCUUGUAGGGUUAGUAGGAAGAUUAAAUAACAUAAUAUGUGUUCAGAACUUAAUAUGUGUCCACAUAAUACGUGUCCAAGCACACAGUAAGCCCAUUUCAGUAUUAACUCUAAUUUGAUGGCUGCCUAAAUUCACCUUCCGGACAGGCCUCACUUACUACCUCAUGUGCUAUGAGAGAGAUUUAGGCUUAAAUUGUGAUUCAUCAUAUAUCAACUAUAUGUGCAUGGAUAAAGUACUUAACUUCUUGGGUAUUUUGAAUUAAUCCUGCAAAUAUGGCACUAUGUACCAGGCAUUAUGCCAGGUGUUGAAAAUUCAGAGGAACAGCUUAAGCAUGGCCCCUGCCUAUAAAGCACCCCAAAUCUGGGAUGUGGGGGACAGACAGCUAAAUAAGUGACUACAGUUCAGAACUGUAUGGACAUAAAAUGCUCACUUAUCUGACUUGAGGUGGACCAAUAGUUAGUAGAUUAAUCAAAAGAGUCAGUGGAGAGUCAUACAAAUAUUAUCUAUUUGUCUUAAAUAUUCUAUUUCAAUUUAAGCAGAUUAGGGUUUGCCAGGAGACAGAGGAAGGGAGAGUACAAGGUGUUCUUCUGGGGUUAUGAAAAAAACUUGCAACUAGAGAGUGGUGGUUGCACAAUAUCAUCAAUCAUUAAAAACCACUGAAUUUUAUACUUUUUAAAAAAUUUAUGAUUUUACAAGUAUAUUACACUUUUAUAUAAUUGUGGAGUUUAGUAAACGUCUAAUUGUAUAUUAUAUGAAUUUUAUCUCAAUAAGAAAAUAUAAAUGUGCAUUAUUUUGCCAGUCUUUUGAUUAGGACUAAGAACUUUAGGUUUUUGUUCAGUUAAUUUAAGUUAUCUUUCCAGUAUAAAUCAUAUCCAUAAUAUAGGUUUUUAAAAAAUAUUUAUUUUGUACUUGUAGUUGGAGCCAAUACCUUCAUUUUAUUUAUUUUUAUGUGUUGCUAGGGAUCAAACCCAGGGCCUCGCAUGUGCUAGGCAUGUGCUCUACUAAGGAGCCACAACCUCAGCUCCCAUAAUAUAGUUUUUUUGAUUGUUUUGACUUCCUUAAAUUGGAGGAGAAAUGUAUUACCUACAAAUCUAUUUCAAGAUAGAUAGAAUCUGCUUAGAUUUUUAUAAUAUUUUUUUCCAUUUAUGGCUUUACUUCUCUUAUUUCUUUUUUUUUUCUUUUGUGUGGUACUGGGGAUUGAACUCAGGGCCUUGUACAUACAAGGCAAGCACUUUACCAACUGAGCUACAUCCCCAGCCCAUAGCUUUACUUCUUUAUAUAUAACAUGACAAUUUUUUGGCACUUCACAUUUAUAUCUUUGGACAUAACUGAAAUAGAGAACAUGGAGCAGAUCUGGUCGUGGGGGGAGGGGAAUGAAUUCAGCUUGGAAUACAUUGAAUUUGAGUUUUAAAGCAACUGUGGGUUGGCUGGGCAUGGUGACACAGGUUUAUAAUCCCAGCUACUUAGGAGGUUAGGGCACAAGAAUUGCAAGUUCAAAGUCAGUCUGUGCAACUUAAUGAGACCUUGUCUCAAAAUAAAAUAAAAAGAACUAGGGAUGCAGCUGAAAGGUAGAAUAUUUGUCUAGCAUGUGCAAGGCCCUGGGUUUGAACUCCAGUACCAUAAAAAAUAAAAUAAAAUAAAAUAGAAGGGCUGGGGAUAUUCAUUAAGUAGCUAGACAAAUAAAUCUAAAAUUGAAUUUCAGAGGUUAAAGUGGCCAAAAAUUCAUGUAAGGUAAAAAAAAUGGAAAACAUGCAAUCAAUUUUACCCAGAGGAGGUAAAAUUUCACAUUGGUGAAAGCAAUUUUAGAAAGAAGGUGACACAGGAGACAGAUGGUAGGAGUGGAGGGGUAUACGGGCAUGAAAUAACCAUUUGUGGGUAAUCAGAGCAUUAGGACUUUGAAGAUGAUAGAGUCGGGGGUGCAGCAGUUGGAAGGGGAGUAAGGGAUGAGUAAGAACAUGUAAAUGUUUCAGAGAUGCAUCAGUACGAAGGCAGAGGUUGCAAAUGCAAGCAGGAGAAGGAAUAAAUGGGGAUUAGAUAGAGAAACCCAUACGUGUUAGGGACCACUGUUGUGAGGGAUAAAUGAGUGAGACCACAUGGCAUGCAUGUGCCUUGUUAGUUCCUUCCCUUAUCUAUCUACUGCCUUGCUGAGAGCCAUCCUUUCCUCUAUUAUGUCUCAUUUUGUUCUUAUCUACAAUCUGCUGUGAGUACAUUGGCCUGGGCCUUCCUGACUGCACACCUGUAGUUUUAGAAGUCACCCAUGUAAUUCCAGAUGGACAUUUAAGUUUAGAAACUAAGACUGGCCUAAUGUCUUACCUAUACCUUCUUCCCACAUAUGUCCACAAUGCCUACAGUGAGUUUCAUUUCACAACUUCUUACUUGCAUCCUGAUUCUUAUUCAGCUGCUCAGCAGAGGCAAUAGGCUCCUUGUUAUACCUGAGUUGUCUCAUGUGCUCACUCAGACUUUCUUAGCUCUCAGUUUCCUUCACUAAGCCAAUAUGGCAUAUUCUUGUUCAUUGUAGAAAUAAGUUCUCUUCUCCCCAGAGACUUGUUCCAAUAAACAUCUUUAAUUAUUAAAAACAAUUGUUAAUGGCAUUAGAUACUCUGUUCAGGACUUUCACACAGCAUUCAAAAAACAAUUAAGUUUCCCUUUAUUUAGCUCCAUUUGACACAUCCUGUUUCCUCAUUGCUCACACAUAAGCCAUUUCUGUCAUCAUUUAGAACCCCUCCUCACCAUUAUUGGGAGGCAGUAGUGGUUGUUUUUUAGUAUUUUGGUGUAUUUCUUUCCAGUGCUUUAGAAAAACAUAGUUGAAAACAUACUGUACUUUUUUCACUUGCUAUUUUAAUAUAAGCAUUUUCCUGUUAAAGUUAUUAACUAUGAUUUUUGAUAACUGCCAGAUAUUCCUUUUUCCUACAGGUGUUCCAAGUUUCACUUGGCCAUCUUCCCAUACUUAGACACAUUGGUUUGCAUGUGUUUACACAUACAUUUUUCUUUGCUGAUUAUUCCCUUACACUAGGCUUCUGGAAGUGGGACUGUGAUGGCAAAUAUUUUAAAAAGCAUAAGAAAGCUAGUUUCAAUUUAAGAAUUGGAGAUGAUGUUGUUUUCUCACCAACAGAGUACUAAUUUUUCAGGUUCAAUUGAGCUUUCACACACACACACAAAGAAUGGCUAGUGCUGAGGAUGUCGUUCAGUGGUACAGCCUUUGCCUAGCAUGGAUGAGUCCUCAAGUUCAAUUCCCAGUACUGUAUUAAAAAAAAAAAAAGAAAGAAAAAAAGAAUGGCUUUAUGAAUCUCUCUUUUUACAUUUUUAUAAGUAGUAUUAGCUUCUUCAUCUUAAAAAUAUUAACCCUGCAAUUGUUUAUAGUGUUACAUACUCUUUUAAGAGAACUACAUAGAUCUGGUCACUGCUGAUGAUGCGGCAUGCAUGUUGAAGAUUCACUGAGUGCAAAUACGGGUUAUGACCCCAGGGAUGGACCUCCGAAGAAUCGAGGUAAAGAGUCGAGAUAAUUUAGAGGAUGAGCCUGAGGGAGGGGAAUAGAUCAGAGGGGACCCAGCUGGGACAUCCAACCUUCACCUGGGCCAAAUGUAAAGAAUGAAUGUGUGGUGUGCCCAUUCCCUCUGAAGGUCUCUGUUGUAAUCUAUUCCCUCCUCUUUUCCAGAGCAUAACAAGUGGCAAUUCUCAGAAAGGCACUGUAACUACCACAUGCUGGGCUCUCUAACUUCCUUCCUCAUUUUCCUCUUCACUCACAUUUGCCAUAUCUCUUUUUUUGUCCCCCAGCCCUGCUUCAGGCCCCAGACUAAUCCUGCCCCAAAUCAGUGAAGGUGGCUGGCACUGGUUUGAAGAGCUUACAGAAAUCUCUUGUGGCUAGUCAGCUUGGAGUUCUUUUUGGAAACCACAGGCCCUAACCAGGGCUGACAGACUUCAGACACCAGGUGCUGCCCAUUUGUCACUUAGCACCCCCAGGUACUGUGCUUCUGUGGCUCUCUCCUCCGCUCAUUCUGUGCUGCAGCUGUCUCAUAAGGGUCUGCCCUCCCUGACAUCACUAAAGAGACCAUCUAUAUUCCAGGGACAAACCCAUCCCUGUCUGCCACACUCCCAUUGAAGAUAAAAAUAACAUUAACAACAAAAAAAUAUUUAAUUUACUAUCAUUCAUUUAACCAUUGGACUUUCCAUUCCUGGACAUGACACAGGGCACACUAUAGCUUAUUCCUUAAAAAGAUCUGAUAAUAACUGUAAACAAAUAUAUUGGGCAUAUUAUCAUUGGCAUAAAAACUAAUAUCCAGUCUACCCAGUACAAGCUUAGGGGAGAGGGAAAAGCAGAACACCUUGCUUUGUUACCACUCCUGUUCCAGGUCCAAGAAGAGUGCUAAAGCCACAAGGAAGGAGGUUGGCAGAAACCAAGGCAUUGUCGUAAGAAUGUUUAAGUAGAGACCCUAACUUUAUCCUUUGGCAGAAUCUCUUCCUGUGGAGAAUCUGGCCCAUUUGCAUAGUGUUCUUGUUUUUCCUGAGUCUGAUCUGUAUCUGUUUUAUAUUUUCUAGCCACCAGAGGAUUAAAGUAAAUUUGGAAGAAUUCUAAAUAAUUUCCCUCCACCCCCACGUUAGCUUCAUGUUAAUAUGAACCUAUGAUGUUGAAAAGAAGUUUUUUUUUAAUUAUCUGAGGACAGCAGUCAUCCAUACUCUCUUACCACUGACUACCUGUGAAUUAAUUAUCAUCAAAUAUUCAUCUGCCCAGGGUGAGUUACAAGUUUUGCUUAGGUGUUUGGUGAAUAAUACAAAUGCAGUUUAUUUCCUUGUUUGAUCUCUCAUCUUGAGGUAAUCAGCUAGAGAAGUAAAAAUUAUGGUUUGGUACUUAAAUUUUUGUUGUUGUUGUUUGUUUAUACUGUCUCUGUCCCAUCUAUAUUAGAUUUAAACUGCUUUUUAAAUUUAUUUUACCUUUCAUAUUUCCUCUGAUAGAAUCAUAUAAUCAUAUUCUCUACCCAUUUAUCCACUGGGGAUAUUGGUAGUGUUUAUCUAUAUGUUUGGAGAUGAUAACUAUUUUCUGUUUAUGGUGAACUUUUUUGUUUUCAUUGUUAAUUUUUUAUUGCUUAGACUUUAAAUGUUAUAUAACUAUAUUUUAUUAUUUAGUUUUAUUUCUUAUUUCUCCUUUUGCUCUAAUUGUAGAAAUUAUCACUUUAAAGUGGGACUAAAAGCUGUAUUCUUCCUUUAGGGUUCCAUUUCCCACCACUCUGACAUUCUCUGGACUCCAAAGCUCAUGCCCGGUAAUUCUUUUUUUAGUUGCCGUUGAACACAAUAUCUUUAUUUAUUUAUUUUUAUGUGGUGCUGAGGAUCAAACCCAGCGCCUCACAUGUGCUAGGCAAGCACUCUCCCACUGAGCCCCAGCCCUAGUCCUCCGGUACUUCUUCCCUAUCAUUCUUCCCUAACAGAAGGUUGAAUACUUGUUAUGACUAAAGUUGUGCAGUUUAUUGUUCACUUGUUUAUCCUAUAUUCAGAACAAUUUUCUGUUUUCUGUUGUUCAAGAGGCAUGUGACUUAACAUCAUUCACACCCAGUUUCACUCACUCUUUUAUUCAUUCACUCACAAAUUCACGUUUUCAUUUACUAUAGGUGGCCACAGACUCUAGGUGACCCUCAAUGAUCCCUGCUUCCUGAUGUUCACACUUUGAGUGUGGACAAGUCUAAUGACCUGCUUCUAACCAACAUUAUGGUAAAAAUGAUGGGGUGUCUUUCCUGUAAUUGUGUUACAUAAUGUAAGGCUCUGUCUUGCUAGAAGACUUAUUUUAUAUUCCUUGCUGGCUCGAUGAAGUAAGCAGCCAUGUUGGGAAAGCCCACAUGAUGAAGAAACUGGGGCAGAAGCUUGGAUUCUUAGUCUUAGAGCCAUAAAGAAAUGAUUCUGUCAAGAACAUAAGUGGACUUGGAAGGGGUACCUUCCUCAGUCAAGACUGAAUGAGAACACAAACCAGGAGACACUUGAUUGCAACCUUGUGAUUCCCUGAGUGGAGGACCUGUCUAAUUCAUUCCCUGACCUACAAAAGCUGUGAAAUAAAAAAAAAAAUGGUUGUUGUUUUAAGCCAAUAAGGGUGUGGUAAUUUUUUUUAUGAAUAGAAAAUAAAUACACUGUGCUACACUAAAUACUAUAUGUGCAUAGUCUCAGUGCUUAAAAAUAAUCUCCCAAAUCUGAUACUUACUAAUAUCCCCAUUGUACAUGUGAAGAAAUUAAGGCUCAGGAAUUGAACUCUUGAACAUUCUGUUCUUUACCACAGAUCAUGACAUGUUUUAUUUUAACGUUUUUUGUUAUUUCAUUGUUUCAAAUUUACAACUGGUUUAAAAUAUAUCUUCUGUAACACAACUAAUACAUUUAGGAAAAAUCUUACUUGGCACACCUUGCACACAAGGUAAAUGCUUUUAUAAAUUCAAUAUUGUAAGGAACUGUCCUGUUUUUUACUAUAUCUUUUUACUAUAUACCUCCUAGAAAUAUUAGAUAUAUGAAUACAGUUUCUCUUUUAUAUUAAAAGUGAUAGACACGGGGGCUGAGGAUAUAGAUGAGUUAAUAGAGUGCUUGCCUCGCAUGCACAAGACCCUGGUUCAAUCCUCUCCACCCCCCACCUCCCCCCAAAAAGUGAUAGACAUGAGAAGGAUCAUGGGCUUCAUAUGCAUGGGAAUUUAUCUGGAAUAAGGGCCUUCAAAUAAACACCAGAAUGUGCAGGAGCUUGGAUUCUGUCUUUAACUUUUCUAUAAAACUAAAACAUUUCGUCUAUGUUCUAACUUUUUGUUUCUGAUUAGGUAUAGACAUUUCAUCUAUGUUCUAACUUUUCGUUUCUAAGUAAGAAUAGGGAAAGAUUAGGAAGUGGAAAGAUUUAAACACUAUUUUUUUUUACAACUAAAAUCCUCUUUGGAUUAGUGUUCUGAGGAAUGAAGGUGGGAUUGUGACCCCAGUAUCAUGUCUUCUAAUGAGAGUCCUUUCUAUUCUGCAUUUAUCAGAUGUUAAUUAUUCAUACUGCAUGAUUGAAGAUUUUGGAGUCAGAGAUUCACCUGCAAUAUUUGGAAUACCAGUGAAGGUCUACAUCAACACAGAAUUUAUACAGCAGCUGGUGCUAGUCAAAGCUAAUGA
rnacentral:lncRNA from 1 species